UACGUAGGGUGCGAGCGUUGUCCGGAAUUAUUGGGCGUAAAGAGCUUGUAGGCGGUUUGUCGCGUCUGCCGUGAAAUUUCGAGGCUCAACCUCGAACUUGCGGUGGGUACGGGCAGACUAGAGUGUGGUAGGGGAGACUGGAAUUCCUGGUGUAGCGGUGAAAUGCGCAGAUAUCAGGAGGAACACCGAUGGCGAAGGCAGGUCACUGGGCCGCAACUGACGCUGAGGAGCGAAAGCGUGGGGAGCAAACAGG
rnacentral:rRNA from 1 species